AGCGAACGCUGGCGGCGUACUUAACACAUGCAAGUCGAACGAGGAUCAUCGGGUUAGCAAUAAUUCGGUGGUUCUAGUGGCGUACGGGUGAGUAACACGUGGGUAACCUGCCCUUGAGUCCGGGAUACCCUCUCGAAAGGGAGGCUAAUACUGGAUACGUUCCCCGGGGCGCAAGACCUGGGGAGGAAAGGUGGCGCAAGCUACCGCCCUUGGAGGGGCUCGCGGCCUAUCAGCUAGUUGGUGAGGUAACGGCUCACCAAGGCUAUGACGGGUAGCUGGUCUGAGAGGACGACCAGCCACACGGGAACUGAGACACGGUCCCGACUCCUACGGGAGGCAGCAGUGGGGAAUUUUCCGCAAUGGGCGAAAGCCUGACGGAGUGACGCCGCGUGGGGGACGAAGGCCUUCGGGUCGUAAACCCC
rnacentral:rRNA from 1 species